rnacentral:rRNA from 1 species
UACGUAGGGACCAAGCGUUGUUCGGAUUUACUGGGCGUAAAGGGCGCGUAGGCGGCGUGACAAGUCACUUGUGAAAUCUCUGAGCUUAACUCAGAACGGCCAAGUGAAACUGUUGUGCUAGAGUGCAGAAGGGGCAAUCGGAAUUCUUGGUGUAGCGGUGAAAUGCGUAGAUAUCGCUUGGAACGCCAACGGUGAAAACAGCUCGCUGGGGGUGUGCUGACGCUGAGACACGAAAGCCAGGGGAGCGAACGGA